CCGCCGCCGCCGCCGCCCGCGCACCCUGCUCGGCCUCAGCGAGCGCGACCGACGCGAGUCGCAGCCGCCACCGCCGCUCUCCUCGCGCUCGCCGCACGCGCUGCCAGGCUGCGCGGCCCUCUCUCUUCUCCUCUCCUCUCCCCGCCCGCUGCCGCCGCCACCGCCGCCGCCGCCCUCGCCCCCGCCUCCCUCCUCCGCCGAGCUUCCCCGCCCGCGUCGUGGCCAAUCGGAGGCCACCGAGCUGCGGCUGUAGCCGGCCAGAUCCACGGCAGCCGUCCGCCCCCGCCCCGCCGAAGCACCCCGUUUCUGCUGCAGCCCGCGGGGGGUCGCCGGAGGGAAGUCUGGGGUUUUUGGGGUUUUUGUGCUUUUAGUAUUUGAAAAUCAAACUCAAUGUUUCCAUGGAAAAUAUAACCAACUCUACAGAGGACAGGAAGACGUCAGAGCUGCUCUGCACAGACUCCAGAAUUUGUAGGAAAAGAAACGAAGGGGUGGUGACAGGCUGGCAGCGGGGGAGAACCAUGUCUGCACUGCGUAGUGUGGAUCAUGACACCUACUGGCAGCAUAGAAUUUUGCACCCUAGUUCCAUAAGACACUGAAGCCCCUGUUACUUAAGACAGGUAAGGAUAUUUCAAAUCUAUGCUUGUGUUAUGAGUCAAUAAUAAACUCUACAGGAAAAACUGUAUCUUGGAGUAUGACUUUUGGUUUGGAUAGGCUACAUUAUGCUGUGCUAACAAACAUGGCCUAAAACUCAGGGGCUUAAAUUAACAAAGAUUUAAUUCUUGCACAUACUGCAUGUCUGUUACAAGUUAUUAGUGAUGAAAAGUGUGAAAUGAAGGUUGAAAGUCAAUUCCAUCUCCAGCUGCACUGUUACCUACCAGCCUAGCGUUCCCAGGAGAGUCACUCAUUGAUUCGAGAUAUCUUUUUUUGUCUGUUGAGCAGGGUCUUUCCAUGUCUGUGUCAGUUCUGUGCUACUUUAAUUGUUACAGCUUUAUAAAUAUAUUUUUUAAGCUUAUUUAUUUAGUUUGAGAGAAAGAGAGAGCAAGAGCAAGUAAGCAGGGGAGAGGCAGAGAGAGAGGGAGGGAGAGAAUCCCAAACAGGCUCCGCACCCUCAGCACAGAGCCCCAUGUGGGCUCACAAACUGUGAGAUCAUAACCCGAGCUGAAACCGAGGGUUAGGCGCUUAACCAACUGAGCCACCCAGGUGCCCCAACUGUUACAGUUUUAUAAUAAGCUUCCUAUAUGGGAAGACUUAUCUCUUCCUCUAAUUGUUGUUUUAAAAAAUUCUGUGUUUUUCUUACUUGAUUAUUCUUCUGGGAGAAGUUUACAAUAUUUUUUGUUAAAUUACCUUGAUUUACAGUUGUUUUUUGUUUGGAUGGCAUUAAAUUAUGCAUUAAUUUGGUAAUAACUGUAAAAUAUUUAGUCUUCCAUAUAUGUCCUUUAUAUAUCUCAAAAAUAUUUGUAAUGUUAUUCAUAUGUUAAAUGCAUUUUAUUAAAAUACGUCCUUGCCAUCCUAUUUUUGUUACAACAAUAAAUAAAAUUUAUUUACACAAUUUUAUUUCCGCAUUUUCUAUUACCUGCAUAUAAGCAUGCUAUUGAUUUUGUAUUUUUCUCUUAUAAUAAAUAAUUGUAUAAAAUUUUCAUAUGAUGUCAUUUUGCAUUUAUUUAAAUGUCUUGCAUUUAUAGCUCUUAGCUUUGUGUCAUGUCUUCCAGCACAGAACAAAGGAAGCAUUCUAAAAAGGACAUCAUUAUUAUUUUUUUCCACAUUUAAUAGCAGUCUUCUUUGGGUUUAACCAUUUGAAGUGUAUUAUGGUGACUAUUUUUUAAUAAUACCAUUGGUGUUUUCAAGAAUUGUGAG